CAAUGAAUGGCGGUGCUGUCUCGAAGGGCUGAAUGGCCUCCUCCUGCACCUGUUGUCUAUGUUUCUGUGUCUUUGACCAGCCUUGCUUGCCCUCCACGUCGGGGCCCUUGAGGCAUUUGAAUACAAGUUUCCCUGACUGUCAAUGAUUUUAUUUGACCUGAUUUGGUAAAUGUGUGAAUUUCACACUGAGAAAUGAUUGCUGGCUUCUGAAACAUUUCUCCAGGUAACCCUCCAGAUCUGUCGCCCUUGCAGUUUCUUGUACAAAUCCAUCAGGGACUGGUUGGCAUUGGAGGCUGUCGGCACAGCUAGUAAAACGGUGCUUUUUCUAAUUAUAGAACGCACCUGCAGAUCUUAGCUUCAAGUGAUCUUCAGAAGGCAAUCCUAGCUGCUAUGCGGUUGAAGGAACAUUGGGCAGCCCAUCUGUACGUGCGGGUGUGAGCACCAGCUUGCAGGAGACACGGCGACAUCGUUGGAUAAGUGCACGCAAGUUCCUUCACAUCAGAGGCUCCAAACUACAACCCCGCCCCGAUCAACAGUGCCGACAGUGGGUGUAAUGUCCCUCAGCUGAUCGUGGGGUAAAGAUGACUGGGGAUAAGAGAGCAUCCUUGCUGCUGCUGCUGCCUCUGCUGCUGCUGCACCUCUGCCAGCAAUGCAACACCAUCAUAAUCCCUGAUCAAUACAAACACCUAAUGACAU